rnacentral:rRNA from 1 species
CGUCUAUAUACGUAUAGCAUAUCAAUAAGCGGAGGAAAAGAAACUAACUAGGAUUCCCUCAGUAACGGCGAGUGGAGCGGGAAGAGCUCAAAUUUGAAAUCUUAAAGGUUUCCCUUGACGAAUUGUAGUUUAAAGAAGUGUUUUCUGUUGGAGUUUCGGUAAAAGUUCUUUGGAAUAGGACAUCAUAGAGGGUGAGAAUCCCGUAUUUGACCAUUACUUUCCAGCUUUGUGAUACACUUUCAAAGAGUCGGAUUGUUUGGGAAUGCAGUCCAAAAUGGGUGGUAAAUUUCAUCUAAAGCUAAAUAUUGGCGAGAGACCGAUAGCGAACAAGUACCGUGAGGGAAAGAUGAAAAGAACUUUGAAAAGAGAGUUAAACAGUACGUGAAAUUGUCAAAAGGGAAGCGUUUGACACCAGUGUUGUUUUCUCGAAAAUCAAUUAAAAAAGGCAUGGAUUUUGUGUUGUAUUGACUUUAUCAGCUUUCUGCACUCUUUUCUUGUCUUUUUUAAUGCACUUUUCGUUUAACAAGUCAACAUCAAUUUCUUUUGUUGUAAAAGGGUCAUUGGAAGGUGGCUUUCUUUUCGGAGAAAGUGUUUAUAGCCUUUGGCCUCUGCAAUCGGAGAGAUUGAGGUCUGCAGCGUAGAUCCUUCGGGGUUAGAUACAUUUGUGCUAAGUUAUAGCCUUUCAUAGACAACUUGUUGACUAUGAUCAGUCAUGUAGCUUACUCGCUUAUGCUAUUUUACCUACGCUUAGGAUGUUGAAGUCAUCGUAUCGCGC